GGAGGGUUGGCCGAGUCCGGUAAGGCAGCGGCCCGCUAAGCCGUGGUCGGGUUCACCCCCGCGCGAGUUCGAAUCUCGCACCCUCCG
rnacentral:tRNA from 1 species